AGAUAGAAGGGAAGGGGUUGC
rnacentral:miRNA from 1 species